UCCUAGUGGUUUAGAGACUGAGAGGUACAAAGACACACUGUCAAGGUGACAGGUAUCUUAGUGGUUUAGAGACUGAGAGGUACAGAGACACACUGUCAAGGUGACAGGUAUCCUAGUGGUUUAGAGACUGAGAGGUAUAGAGACACACUGUCAAGGUGACAGGUAUCCUAGUGGUUUAGAGACUGAGAGGUACAGAGACACACUGUCAAGGUGACAGGUAUCCUAGUGGUUUAGAGACUGAGAGGUAUAGAGACACACUGUCAAGGUGACAGGUAUCUUAGUGGUUUAGAGACUGAGAGGUAUAGAGACACACUGUCAAGGUGACAGGUAUCCUAGUGGUUUAGAGACUGAGAGGUACAGAGACACACUGUCAAGGUGACAGGUAUCCUAGUGGUUUAGAGACUGAGAGGUAUAGAGACACACUGUCAAGGUGACAGGUAUCUUAGUGGUUUAGAGACUGAGAGGUAUAGAGACACACUGUCAAGGUGACAGGUAUCCUAGUGGUUUAGAGACUGAGAGGUACAGAGACACACUGUCAAGGUGACAGGUAUCCUAGUGGUUUAGAGACUGAGAGGUAUAGAGACACACUGUCAAGGUGACAGGUAUCCUAGUGGUUUAGAGACUGAGAGGUACAGAGACACACUGUCAAGGUGACAGGUAUCCUAGUGGUUUAGAGACUGAGAGGUAUAGAGACACACUGUCAAGGUGACAGGUAUCUUAGUGGUUUAGAGACUGAGAGGUAUAGAGACACACUGUCAAGGUGACAGGUAUCCUAGUGGUUUAGAGACUGAGAGGUAUAGAGACACACUGUCAAGGUGACAGGUAUCCUAGUGGUUUAGAGACUGAGAGGUAUAGAGACACACUGUCAAGGUGACAGGUAUCCUAGUGGUUUAGAGACUGAGAGGUACAGAGACACACUGUCAAGGUGACAGGUAUCCUAGUGGUUUAGAGACUGAGAGGUAUAGAGACACACUGUCAAGGUGACAGGUAUCCUAGUGGUUUAGAGACUGAGAGGUACAGAGACACACUGUCAAGGUGACAGGUAUCCUAGUGGUUUAGAGACUGAGAGGUACAGAGACACACUGUCAAGGUGACAGGUAUCCUAGUGGUUUAGAGACUGAGAGGUAUAGAGACACACUGUCAAGGUGACAGGUAUCCUAGUGGUUUAGAGACUGAGAGGUACAGAGACACACUGUCAAGGUGACAGGUAUCCUAGUGGUUUAGAGACUGAGAGGUAUAGAGACACACUGUCAAGGUGACAGGUAUCCUAGUGGUUUAGAGACUGAGAGGUAUAGAGACACACUGUCAAGGUGACAGGUAUCCUAGUGGUUUAGAGACUGAGAGGUACAGAGACACACUGUCAAGGUGACAGGUAUCCUAGUGGUUUAGAGACUGAGAGGUAUAGAGACACACUGUCAAGGUGACAGGUAUCCUAGUGGUUUAGAGACUGAGAGGUACAGAGACACACUGUCAAGGUGACAGGUAUCCUAGUGGUUUAGAGACUGAGAGGUACAGAGACACACUGUCAAGGUGACAGGUAUCCUAGUGGUUUAGAGACUGAGAGGUAUAGAGACACACUGUCAAGGUGACAGGUAUCUUAGUGGUUUAGAGACUGAGAGGUACAGAGACACACUGUCAAGGUGACAGGUAUCCUAGUGGUUUAGAGACUGAGAGGUACAGAGACACACUGUCAAGGUGACAGGUAUCCUAGUGGUUUAGAGACUGAGAGGUACAGAGACACACUGUCAAGGUGACAGGUAUCCUAGUGGUUUAGAGACUGAGAGGUAGAGAGACACACUGUCAAGGUGACAGGUAUCUUAGUGGUUUAGAGACUGAGAGGUAUAGAGACACACUGUCAAGGUGACAGGUAUCCUAGUGGUUUAGAGACUGAGAGGUACAGAGACACACUGUCAAGGUGACAGGUAUC